rnacentral:lncRNA from 1 species
CACCAUCCCUCACUCUGCUCUUCAGAACUGCAAGACAACAAUGACAGGCCACUGUUUGCAGCCACCAGCAUGGUGGGACUUCUGUGCCGGCCCUGGGGUGUAAUCCACCUAUCUGACACAUACCCUGUCUCUCUGCUCUCUAGAAGGUAAGGCCACCAGCCCUCGGCUUCCAGACAGCACACAGAGCAGCUGCUGCUCCUUGCAAAUAACCCCUCCUUGCUGAACCCUGAGCUCCUGGCAGAGCCUCCAAUAGGGAACUUGAGAGCAGCUUUGCUGGCCUUGGAUCAGAAAACCCAGGACAGAUGCGGGCUAUGAUGACGAUGCCCUGAUCCUCUGAGCCGGGAAGUUCGGCACUGUGGUGCAUGCCUGAGAUCUGAAGAGGCUGAGGACUGUGCCUCAAAAACAGCAUCAACCAAGAACAUAGCACAGGCACGCAAGUCUGGUGAAAUCAGAUGGCCACGGUCCUGGACCAAGAGCUGGAGGACCUGCCAGUGGGCCUUCUGGGGUCUCAGGCCCCUCGACCCUGGCUUCCUAGGCAGCCUCCCUUGCCCUGCAUGGAGCUGGCACUUUGCAUUCUGUUCAGCAAUCCCUUUGUUCACGGCACACAGAAACCCAGCCUGCUAGUCAGAGCGGAGCUAACAAUCUCACACAAUCCUGUUAAGCACACACCACCAAGGAAUGGCGGGCCUCGGGACGGGGCUGCUUCCCCCCGGCCCUGCCCAGCCGAGCAGAUGGCGGCGUGGGCGGUAGGUACCAGCCUCCUGGCAAUCCGAACAUCUGUUCCCGUUAGAAAAUGCUAAUUGCCAUCAAUCAGGACAGCACCUACCCACAUUUACAUGCAAGCGCACAUGCAAAAAAAAAAAAU